UAGGCCUGUACAUGUCUGAGAGAGCUUGGAGGUAUCUAGAAGAACAUUUCAUUCAACACUGGACCCUCCACAUGCUCCCCCAAAGUUAGCACCCCUCCCCUAAGGAGAACUACGCAUGUGAGUUGCCCUCAUGCAGAAGAGCCAGAGAGAGCGAGAGCAGGUGGUGCUAACUUGUUGCUCCAGCUGUGCAGUCAUCGAAGUGACCCAGCCAGCAUUCCUAGUGGUGAAAAGACAAGAAGCUGCCCACUUUCUGUGUGAAUACAAGAAUGCUGGGGAUGCAGCGAAACUUGCAAUAACUUUACUUAAACAGCUAGGCAAUGAGUCUAUCAAGAUCUGUGCUUCAUCCUUUACUACCAAGUAUGAGCCAUUCAUCACUAUGGGUGACAUCCAGUGCCAAGUCCAUCCUGGUCGCAAGAGUGUAAAUGUUACCCUUUGGGGUCUGCGGUCGACUGAUGCUGGUCUGUAUAUUUGCAAGAUUGAACAGAUUUACCCUCCACCCUACUACCCAGUCAAAGGAAGGGGGACCCAGCUCUAUGUCAUUGAUACAGAUCCAUGCCCAGACACACAUCUGUAUCUUUGGAUCAUAGUAACAGUAGCUUCUGGAUUGCUUGGCUACAGCAUUUUAAUCACAAUCUACAUUAUGAGAAAGGUGAUUUGAUUGUUGUUUUCCUGGAUGUGAGAUUAUGAAAGAAAGAAAAAGCUUGCAGAUUGUGAAAUAUUCUCUCUCAAGUAAUUUUGAACUUCCGUGCCAUCAUUUAUUAUGAUCAACAGAAAUUAGAGAGGUAGAGCAUCCUUAUAUGUAUACAGAAGAGCAGCUAUCUUACUCCUGGGGUCUAUGAAAAAAUUAUGCCAAUGUAGUCAGAAAAAAGACAACUGCAACGGAAAAGGAAGAAAUGAUGUUGAUUUCUAUGACAAAGAAAAUAAAUUUCUAAUAAACAGAAAUGCAGUUUGUGACUUCCAGAUUGGAUCACAAUGAAGGAGGAAGUGACCCACUAACAAAAGAAUAUGAAAUUGAUACUGCAAGGUGCUAUUUAGUCCUUGAAUUCCUUAGGAUCCAUCCACAUUAUUUCACAGAAUGAACUUCCAAGUGCACUUCUUCUUUGUAAAAUCUUCAACAGUUCUUCAUAAGUUCUUCAAUAAUGGAUUAUGCAUUAUACUUAGGGUCAGGUUAUAUACAGUCAGCAGAGUCAACUAGUAAAGCUUUUCCUAGACUAUGCCAUUUCAGGCUACCAGACAGAGAAAUAAUGUACAGCCAUACAACAAUGUCCAAAAGUCACAGCAGAAUAAGAGCAGGAAGAACUGCCUAUAAAUCACAGAGACUUCCUGAUUAACCCAUGUAGCUAAUCAGAUGAGGAAUCAUGAAACCACAUAGGAGUAAAGGAAAUCCUUCCUUGCUCCAAAAUUGGCAAGCCUUUUGCCCCUUUUUUUUGUAGCCCUCCCUAAACGUGAGUGCAUUUAGCAGGAGCAAAUCUUUUAAUGACAUCUGCCCCUUAUUUUGGCCAGUCAGCCUUAGUUUUAUACUCAGUUACUGGAUUGAGGAAGUAUGCAUCUUUUCUUUCCUGCCCCAAAGAGCCUCUCACAUUCCACCACCACCCUGAACCAUCACACAGCAAUGGGAUUCAAAGUCCACCCUCUCCUUCUCUCCUUCCACCUACUCACCCCUGCCUUUCAUGCUGCACCCCUUGUCUUGUCCUCAUCUCCUUUUGCCAUUCUUGUUUUAAGAAUGCUUUGUAAAUAAACAUGUAAGUACCAAAUGAA